CUGUGGGGAGGCUGUGGGCUCCGUUUCCAGUAACACCUACGCGCUGAGAAGGUUCUGUGCAGGUUAUGCGUUGAGUUCACCUGACGUUAGGUUGCUUUGCCUAAGAAAAAACGUCUACCAAGGGGGUUAAUUUGACUGAAUGCAGACACGGCUUCUGUGAAACAUCGUGGAAAAAAACCCAGACUAGUGAUGAGCUGAUAAAGACUCCCUCUUCUGAUGGUGUUUUUCCGCUUUCUGUAGCUCCAAGCUGGUGUCAUCCGCUCUUCUCUUGAAAUCUGGGCCUUUUGACGCUGACGAUCUGCCUGUCUGACCCCCCCCACCCCCACCUCCCGUGCCUCAGCACUAAAGCGCGGCGGCUGUUUCUCAUUACGUCUCUUCGGGGGUGGCCGGUCAGCUGUGUUUAUGUCUUUGUUUAAAGCGGACAGAUGUAAAACUACUCACGGCUCCCUCCGUUCUACGACCGCAGGGGGAAAUUCGAACGGGGGUGCGAGCAUGAGAGGAAUGCCCCCCUCUCUGUUCGCCUUUCAUCACAAACGGACGACUCAUUUCAUCCACAACGUUGCCAUUAUUAAAGCGCUUCAGCCUGGCUGGACCUCAGCGAGGAUGCGCUGCUUUCGACCGGUGUUAACCUCCGUCUCCUCAGGCUCUGUAGCACACGGUCACAGGGGUCCAGUGAGCCAGACGCGUCCAGCGCUCCUCCUGAUGUCUCAGAGAGAUACUGAGGCACAAGUCCCUGCAGGCCAUCAUUCUCUGGACAGGCUCUGCCCUGCACACUGCUCCCCUGGUUCCCACAGUAUAAUUCUCUCUUUUUUUUUCAUUUUUUUUUUUCACUUUGUCACUCCCAGGGCUCAGUAGAUUUGACUUGAUCUGCUUCUUUCCUUGUACCCAAUACUCCCUCUCCCUCUCUCUCUCUCUUUAUUUAUUUAUUUUCUUUUUGGGUUGAUUUUUUUUAGCAUGUCUUGAUUUUAUCUCUUGAGUGUUCCCUUUUUCACUGGUAAUAAAGGAAACUUAAAAGUAAAGUCUCCCUCCUUCUCUCUCUCUCUCCCUCCUUCUCUCUCUCUCUCUCGCACUCAAAGGCCGUUGCCUGUGCUGGGAGUAGAGAGAGAAGCAUAGAGGCGUUGGCGGAGCUGCUUUGAACGGAGGACUCCUCCUCAUGUCCCGAAGGGGAGCUCACAGUCCUCAGAAGCAGCGCUCCUUCUGUCCGCUCGGCAUCACACACACUGAGCCUCCAGCCUACCCAUAGGGAACCCUUUUCUGUGACCCUAUUUGCCAGGGUGUAUUUGAACAUUACCAUAUUGUUACCGUACUUACAUGUGUAC
ensembl:lncRNA